rnacentral:rRNA from 1 species
AGAGUUUGAUCCUGGCUCAGGGUUAACGCUGGCGGCGCGCAUAACACAUGCAAGUCGAGCGAGGGCUCUUCUCCCGCAAGGGAGGGGAGUUCCUAGCGGCGAACGGGUGAGUAACACGUGGGCAACCUUUCCUAUCGCGGGGGAUAACAGCGGGAAACCGCUGCUAAUACCGCAUGUCGUCAUCGGUCGCAUGGCCGGUGAAAAAAGCAGCAAUGCACGAUGGGGUGGGCCCGCGGCCUAUCAGCUAGUCGGUGGGGUAACGGCCUACCGAGGCGAUGACGGGUAGCUGGUCUGAGAGGACGACCAGCCACACGGGGACUGAGACACGGCCCCGACUCCUACGGGAGGCAGCAGUGAGGAAUCUUCCGCAAUGGGCGAAAGCCUGACGGAGCGACGCCGCGUGUGGGAUGAAGUCCUUCGGGAUGUAAACCACUGUUGGAGGGGAAGACUUCGACGGUACCCUCCGAGAAAGCCCCGGCUAACUACGUGCCAGCAGCCGCGGUAAUACGUAGGGGGCUAGCGUUAUCCAGAAUUACUGGGCGUAAAGCGCGUGUAGGCGGCUGGUUAAGUGUGAUGUGAAAUCUUCGGGCUCAACCCGAAAACUGCAUUGC